CUUGAUGGUAAACACUAUAACCGUGCAGUCAGGGUCCACAAGUACAUCUCAGAAGCACUAAUGAGACUUGCAUGGGAAGAGUUCACACCCUGGGUUGAGAAAAAUGCUCCAGAGAGGAGUAGGAUGAUCAAAUCAUUCUUGGAAGAUGUGAAAGACAUGGCCAGUGACCUGAACCAAGAAAAGAUGACCAAUCUGCUGCAAAGUCCACUCUCCGCUGAGCUGAUAACCCUGUGGACAGACUUUCUAGAACACCUCCGUCACAACACUGGAGAGCUCUCUGGAUUCUGGAUGUCAUCAUUGACAUGGUAGAGGAUGUAGUACUUGGCCUUCUGCGUGCGUCUCGUGAGGGGGACUGGGAGUUGCACCUCCACGCUAUAAGAACCAUGAUCCCAUGGUGCUUUGCCUACGAUAAGAUGAAUUAUGCCAGGUACCUGUCCCCUUACUUUGCUCAGAUGACCAACCUCCAAAAGAAGUAUCCUUCUGUGUAUGAGGCCUUCAAGGCAGGCCAGUUCUCAGUGCAGCUGUCAAAUAACAACACAUUUGGGAGGAUUCCUGUAGAUCAGGCUAUUGAAGUCACAGUGAAUAAAGACACACAGACUCCUGGAGGCACAUCACGGUUUAGCCUGAAAGCUGGAGCGGUCAGGCGUUACUACCUAACAGCAGUGCAUUCCUAGGACAGUUAAGGGAGAUGCUACAAGGUAACAAAUCACAGCUUUCUCAUUCAGAGCUACAGUCACCAAGAAUCCAGAAAGAUGAGGAAGCAGUUUCAGCAGUGGUUAGCCUCAUACAAGGAUGGAUAAACCCAUUUGACGAGAAGCGGGACCUCAUUAGCAUCUCUACGGCAAAGACAGCUCCCAAAGACAUUCCUCCGACCUGAUGAGAGCAUAUGAGAUUGGUGAGCAAUGCUAUGCAAACUUUAAGGAUGAGAGACUAGACAAAGAAACACCAGCAAAGAAAUUCCACGACCCAAUGAAAACCAACAAGCUGAAAACAUUCAGUGAUAUGUGUAAGAAGAGAGAAGUGAAAUCAAAUGGAAGGGCAGUCAUCUUGAAAGCAGACAGGUCUCUGUUAUAGGACGCAUCAUAGUGAUGGCACAAGCACGUAGUCUUAACAUGGAGGAUAUCCUUUCUCAUCCUCUUGGUCCAUUGCCUUGGGCACUCUCCACACCAGAUGGACUGCUGAGAAAAACAAACAAAGCUACUUUGGCAACAGCCUUGCAGAAAAAUGUAGCACUACAGGAGAAACACCCAGAAAACAGUGGUUGAUGGUAUGAACUUAGUCCAACGAGUGAACGGUGAUGAGGUGACUUUCAGAGAUGUUGCCACAACAAUCCUGGGUAUGGCUCUGAGGGAAGGUAGUCAGAGUAGAAGAAUAGAUGUUGUGUUCGACACAUACAAGCAGAACUCAAUCAAAAAUAGUGAAAGAUCUCUAAGGGGUGAAGAGACUGGUCAUGAGUUGCAGGAUAUCACAAGCACACAAAUGGUGAGGCAGUGGAGGAGCUUCCUGACCAAAGUGAAUAACAAAACCAGUCUCAUUAGCUUCAUAGUGAAUGAAUGGAGGAAGCCAGAAUACAGAGAAAAGCUACAGAAGAAGAUUCUAUAUGCAACUGUGAUUGACAAAUGUUACAGAAUCACAUCAAGACAGUGAGGAGAUGUCAACUCUUCAAUGUCAACAAGAAGAAGCAGAUGGACGACUACUUCUCCAUGCCGCCCAUGCUGCAAGAGAGGGAUACCAAUCCAUAGUUAUCUGUUCAGAAGACACAGAUGUCUUUAUCAUGUCUUUAGCAUUCUGUGACAAGAUUGAGGCCUCAUUAUUCCUGAAGUGUGGCACAAGGACCCGUACAAGGCUGGUAGCUAUCAGAAAGGUUGCAGCCACUGUUGGCAUGGACACUUGUAGGGCUCUCAUUGGGUUGCAUGCCUACACAGGAUGUGACACUGUAAGCGCUUUUGCAGGCAAAGGGAAGACAAGGGCACUUACACUCCUGAUG